rnacentral:rRNA from 1 species
UACGUAGGGCGCAAGCGUUGUUCGGAAUUACUGGGCGUAAAGGGCGCGUAGGCGGUACUUCAAGUCAGGCGUGAAAGCCCCGGGCUCAACCUGGGAACCGCGCUUGAGACUGGAGAACUAGAGUUCGGGAGAGGAUGGUGGAAUUCCCAGUGUAGAGGUGAAAUUCGUAGAUAUUGGGAAGAACACCGAUGGCGAAGGCAGCCAUCUGGACCGACACUGACGCUGAGGCGCGAAAGCGUGGGGAGCAAACAGG